UACGUAGGCAGCAAGCGUUGUUCGGAGUUACUGGGCGUAAAGGGUGCGUAGGUGGCUCUAUAAGUAUGGUGUGAAAUCUCCCGGCUUAACUGGGAGGGUGCGCCGUAGACUGUGGGGCUAGAGUGUGGGAGAGGAAAGUGGAAUUCCUGGUGUAGCGGUGAAAUGCGUAGAUAUCAGGAGGAACACCGGUGGUGUAAACGGCUUU
rnacentral:rRNA from 1 species